rnacentral:rRNA from 1 species
GACGAACGCUGGCGGCGUGCCUAAUACAUGCAAGUCGAACGCUUCUUUCCUCCCGAGUGCUUGCACUCGAUUGGAAAGAGGAGUGGCGGACGGGUGAGUAACACGUGGGUAACCUACCCAUCAGAGGGGGAUAACACUUGGAAACAGGUGCUAAUACCGCAUAACAGUUUAUGCCGCAUGGCAUAAGAGUGAAAGGCGCUUUCGGGUGUCGCUGAUGGAUGGACCCGCGGUGCAUUAGCUAGUUGGUGAGGUAACGGCUCACCAAGGCCACGAUGAAUAGCCGACCUGGGAGGGUGAUCGGCCACACUGAGACUGAGACACGGCCCAGACUCCUACGGGAGGCAGCAGUAGGGAAUCUUCGGCAAUGGACGAAAGUCUGACCGAGCAACGCCGCGUGAGUGAAGAAGGUUUUCGGAUCGUAAAACUCUGUUGUUAGAGAAGAACAAGGACGUUAGUAACUGGACGUCCCCUGACGGUAUCUAACCAGAAAGCCACGGCUAACUACGUGCCAGCAGCCGCCGCCG